rnacentral:rRNA from 1 species
UACAGAGGGUGCAAGCGUUGUUCGGAAUUAUUGGGCGUAAAGGGCGCGUAGGCGGUGCCACAAGUCACCUGUGAAAUCUCCGGGCUUAACUCGGAGCCUGCAGGCGAAACUGUGGUGCUGGAGUGUGGGAGAGGUGCGUGGAAUUCCCGGUGUAGCGGUGAAAUGCGUAGAUAUCGGGAAGAACACCCGUGGCGAAGGCGGCUCUCUGGGACGGUACCGACGCUGAGACGCGAAAGCGUGGGGAGCGAACAGG